rnacentral:rRNA from 1 species
GACGAACGCUGGCGGCGUGCCUAACACAUGCAAGUCGAGCGAUGAAGCUUCCUUCGGGAAGUGGAUUAGCGGCGGACGGGUGAGUAACACGUGAGCAACCUGCCUCAAAGAGGGGGAUAGCCUCCCGAAAGGGAGAUUAAUACCGCAUAAUAUCAGAAUUUCGCAUGAUUUUCUGAUUAAAGGAGUAAUCCACUUUGAGAUGGGCUCGCGGCGCAUUAGCUAGUUGGUGAGGUAACGGCUCACCAAGGCGACGAUGCGUAGCCGACCUGAGAGGGUGAUCGGCCACAUUGGGACUGAGACACGGCCCAGACUCCUACGGGAGGCAGCAGUGGGGAAUAUUGCGCAAUGGACGAAAGUCUGACGCAGCAACGCCGCGUGGGUGAUGAAGGUCUUCGGAUUGUAAAGCCCUGUCUUCGAGGACGAUAAUGACGGUACUCGAGGAGGAAGCC